rnacentral:rRNA from 1 species
GACGAACGCUGGCGGCGUGCUUAACACAUGCAAGUCGAACGGAAAGGCCCCCACCUUGGUGGGGGUGCUCGAGUGGCGAACGGGUGAGUAACACGUGGGUGAUCUGCCCUGCACUUCGGGAUAAGCUUGGGAAACUGGGUCUAAUACCGGAUAGGACCAUGGUUUAGUGUCUCAUGGUGGAAAAAUUAUUGUUUUGGUGCAGGAUGAGCUCGCGGCCUAUCAGCUUGUUGGUGGGGUAAUGGCCUACCAAGGCGUCGACGGGUAGCCGGCCUGAGAGGGUGGACGGCCACAUUGGGACUGAGAUACGGCCCAGACUCCUACGGGAGGCAGCAGUGGGGAAUAUUGCACAAUGGGCGCAAGCCUGAUGCAGCGACGCCGCGUGGGGGAUGACGGCCUUCGGGUUGUAAACUCCUUUCGUAGGGACGAAGCCACAC